rnacentral:rRNA from 1 species
AUGAUGUGCGGUUUCAGUACUACUAGCUGUGAGGAGGAGGAGGUUAGCCUUGAUGGCCAGGUGGUACCUCGGAAGGACACCUUUCGGUAUUUGGGGUCAAUGUUGCAGGAGGAUGGGGGUAUUGAUGAAGAUGUGAACCAUCGAAUCAAAGCCGGAUGGAUGAAGUGGCGCCAAGCUUCUGGCAUUCUCUGUGACAAGAGAGUGCCACAAAAGCUAAAAGGCAAGUUCUACAGGACGGCGGUUCAACCCGCAAUGUUGUAUGGCGCGGAGUGUUGGCCGACUAAAAAGCGACAUGUUCAACAGUUAGGUGUGGCGGAGAUGCGUAUGUUGAGAUGGAUGUGUGGCCACACGAGGAAGGAUCGAGUCCGGAAUGAUGAUAUACGAGAUAGAGUUGGGUAG